GUGGGGAAUAUUGGACAAUGGGGGGAACCCUGAUCCAGCCAUGCCGCGUGUGUGAAGAAGGCCUUUUGGUUGUAAAGCACUUUAAGCGAGGAGGAGGCUACCGAGAUUAAUACUCUUGGAUAGUGGACGUUACUCGCAGAAUAAGCACCGGCUAACUCUGUGCCAGCAGCCGCGGUAAUACAGAGGGUGCAAGCGUUAAUCGGAUUUACUGGGCGUAAAGCGCGCGUAGGUGGCCAAUUAAGUCAAAUGUGAAAUCCCCGAGCUUAACUUGGGAAUUGCAUUCGAUACUGGUUGGCUAGAGUAGGGGAGAGGAUGGUAGAAUUCCAGGUGUAGCGGUGAAAUGCGUAGAGAUCUGGAGGAAUACCGAUGGCGAAGGCAGCCAUCUGGCCUAAUACUGACACUGAGGUGCGAAAGCAUGGGGAGCAAACAGGAUUAGAAACCCGGGUAGUCC
rnacentral:rRNA from 1 species